UGAGCCUGCGGCGUAUUAGCUAGUUGGUGGGGUAAUGGCCUACCAAGGCAACGAUGCGUAGCCGACCUGAGAGGGUGAUCGGCCACACUGGGACUGAGACACGGCCCAGACUCCUACGGGAGGCAGCAGUAGGGAAUUUUCGGCAAUGGGGGAAACCCUGACCGAGCAAUGCCGCGUGAAUGAUGAAAUUCUUCGGAAUGUAAAAUUCUGUUGUGAGGGAAGAAAGGUAGUAUCAGGAAAUGGGUAUUACUUGACGGUACCUUACUAGAAAGCCCCGGCUAACUAUGUGCCAGCAGCCGCGGUAAUACAUAGGGGGCGAGCGUUAUCCGGAAUUAUUGGGCGUAAAGCGUGCGUAGGCGGCCGUUUAAGUCUGUCGUGAAAGCCCACAGCUUAACUGUGGAGGGUCGAUGGAAACUGGAUGGCUUGAAUCUAGAAGAGGUAAGUGGAAUUCCAUGUGUAGCGGUAAAAUGCUUAGAUAUAUGGAGGAACACCAGUGGCGAAGGCGGCUUACUGGUCUAGCAUUGACGCUGAGGCACGAAAGCGUAGGUAGCAAACAGGAUUAGAUACCCUGGUAGUCUACGCUGUAAACGAUGAGCACUAAGUGUCGGACGUAAGUUCGGUGCUGUAGUUAACGCAUUAAGUGCUCCGCCUGGGGAGUACGGUCGCAAGACUGAAACUCAAAGGAAUUGACGGGGACUCGCACAAGCGGUGGAGCAUGUGGUUUAAUUCGACGCAACGCGAAAAACCUUACCAGGCCUUGACAUCCCUAUGACCGCUCUAGAGAUAGAGUUUCCUCUUCGGAGGUAUAGGUGACAGGUGGUGCAUGGUUGUCGUCAGCUCGUGUCGUGAGAUGUUGGGUUAAG
rnacentral:rRNA from 1 species